AGUAGAAUUGUUGGGUCAUAUGGUAAGCAUAUGUUUACUUUUUUAGGAACUUGCCAAAUUGUUUUCCAAAGUGACUGUAUCAUUUUACAUUCUCAUGAGCAAU
rnacentral:pre_miRNA from 1 species